rnacentral:rRNA from 1 species
UGAGCAAUCUGCCCUUCUCUUCGGAAUAAGCGUGGGAAACCGCGUCUAAUGCCGAAUACGACCUCCUUUCGCAUGAUCGGAGGUGGAAAGCUCCGGCGGAGAAGGAUGAGCUCGCGGCCUAUCAGCUAGUUGGUGUGGGUAACGGCCCACCAAGGCGACGACGGGUAGCCGGCCUGAGAGGGUGACCGGCCACACUGGGACUGAGACACGGCCCAGACUCCUACGGGAGCAGCAGG